GACGAACGCUGGCGGCGUGCUUAGCACAUGCAAGUCGAACGGAAAGGCCCUGCUUUUGUGGGGUGCUCGAGUGGCGAACGGGUGAGUAACACGUGAGUAACCUGCCCUUGACUUUGGGAUAACUUCAGGAAACUGGGGCUAAUACCGGAUAGGAGCUCCUGCUGCAUGGUGGGGGUUGGAAAGUUUCGGCGGUUGGGGAUGGACUCGCGGCUUAUCAGCUUGUUGGUGGGGUAGUGGCUUACCAAGGCUUUGACGGGUAGCCGGCCUGAGAGGGUGACCGGCCACAUUGGGACUGAGAUACGGCCCAGACUCCUACGGGAGGCAGCAGUGGGGAAUAUUGCACAAUGGGCGGAAGCCUGAUGCAGCAACGCCGCGUGCGGGAUGACGGCCUUCGGGUUGUAAACCGCUUUCGCCUGUGACGAAGCGUGAGUGACGGUAAUGGGUAAAGAAGCACCGGCUAACUACGU
rnacentral:rRNA from 1 species